rnacentral:rRNA from 1 species
AUACGGAGGAUCCGAGCGUUAUCCGGAUUUAUUGGGUUUAAAGGGUGCGCAGGCGGGAGAUUAAGUCGGCGGGGAAAUUUUGCAGCUCCACUGUAAAAAGGCCUUCGAAACUGGUUUCCUUUAGUGUAGAUGAAGUAGGGGGGAUUUUUGGGGGAACGGUGAAAUGCAUAGAUAUCACGAGGAACUCCGAUUGCGCAGGCAGCUUACUAAACUACUACUGACGCUCAGGCACGAAGGCGUGGGGAUCAAACAGGAUUAGAUACCCUGGUAGUCCACGCAGUAAACGAUGAUUACUAGCUGUUUGCGAUACAAUGUAAGCGGCUGAGCGAAAGCGUUAAGUAAUCCACCUGGGGAGUACGUUCGCAAGAAUGAAACUCAAAUGAAUUGGCGGGG